UAUUUUUUGGUGUAUGAUGCACAGGAAUUUUUGAUGUUCUGGGAGUAGUUUGAUUCUACAUGAAAUAA
rnacentral:tRNA from 1 species